rnacentral:lncRNA from 1 species
GCUGAGGCAGACCACUUUUUGUGUUUCAUAAACAGUAGACAGUUACCCAAUACUCAUGCUCCACAGAGAAGGGGACUGCAAAUGAAAACACAAAGGCUCAAAAAAGAAGAGGGAGGAACGAGAACUGUCCCAGCCCUGUGACAAGGAUUCAAUCAGUACCAAAUGAGAAGUAUGUGGUAGUACUAGUGGAUAUGGAUAAGCGUAGUGGAGGAGAAGCUCUCUUCUUAUAUCAUUAUGAAAUGAAAAUAUUGAAAUGAUGAAUUACUUU